UUUUAAAUGGCCGCAGUAUUUUGACUGUGCAAAGGUAGCAUAAUCAUUAGUUUUUUAAUUAAAAGCUUGUAUGAAAGGCUGGACGAGGUAAAAUCUGUCUCUAUUUAAAUUAUAGUAGAAUUUAACUUUUAAGUUAAAAGGCUUAAAUAUUAUUAAAAGACGAGAAGACCCUAUAGAUCUUUAUAGUUUAUUAAAUUAAAUUAAUUUAGAAAUAUUAAUGUUUUAUUUAGUUAAGUUAUUUUAUUGGGGUAAUAAAAAGAUUGAAUUAAUUCUUUUUUAUAAUAAACAUUAAUUUAUGAAUAUUAAUGAUCCAGUUUUACUGAUUAUAAGAUUAAGUUACCUUAGGGAUAACAGCGUAAUUUUUUUAGAGAGUUCAUAUCGAUAAAAAAGUUUGCGACCUCGAUGUUGGAUUAAAGAUUAUUUUAGGUGUAGAAGCUUAAUAAUUUUGGUCUGUUCGACCAUUAAAUCUUUACAUGAUCUGAGUUCAGACCGGCGUAAGCCAGGUCGGUUUCUAUCUUUAAUAAAAUAGAAUAUUUUAGUACGAAAGGACCAAAUAUUUGAUAUAUUUAUAUUUAAUUUAUUGAAUAUUA
rnacentral:rRNA from 1 species